GGAUGAGAGGCUGAUCUGGCUGCGACAUCUGUCACCCCACUGAUCGCCAUGGUUGAUUUGGCUGAUCUGGCCGGCUAGGCAGGUGUGCCCUUCCUCCCUCACCGCCCCAUGAGCGUCCCUCCCGAUGCUGAGUGCUUGGUCAAAGAAGAUGGCUUUCCCCGAAUAGAGACAGACCGGCCUUUGGUCGAGGGUAUAUGAGUAGCUGCGCUCCCCUGCUAGCGCCUCCAAACAAGCUCUCCAACUGUCAUAAAGAUAGGAAACAUACUCUUGAUGAACAGUGCCAGCGUUUGU
ensembl:misc_RNA 7SK 7SK RNA